rnacentral:rRNA from 1 species
UACGUAGGGACCAAGCGUUGUUCGGAUUUACUGGGCGUAAAGGGCGCGUAGGCGGCUUAACAAGUCACUUGUGAAAUCUCCGGGCUUAACUCGGAACGGCCAAGUGAAACUGUCAAGCUAGAGUGCAGAAGGGGCAAUCGGAAUUCUUGGUGUAGCGGUGAAAUGCGCAGAUAUCAGGAGGAACACCGAUGGCGAAGGCAGCUCGCUGGGACGGUACUGACGCUGAGGCGCGAAAGCGUGGGGAGCAAACAGG